CAAGUCGGCGAGUAACUUUAAGAUCGUGGGAGCGAAGGGCGGACAGUAAACAAGAGGAGCAAGCUUACCUUGAACACUGUGUGGUCGGAUGUGAUCAGCACCGAUCCGACGAUCAGGAAUCGACGCAGGCAGUCAGGCAAAGCGAUCACCGUGUAUCCUUGAAAUCACAGUCGUGGUGCACAGAAAUCAAUCACAGCGCGAACGAACAGGCAACGCGGUAUUAAUGUGGCGGCAAAAGUAUCUUGAUAGGUGUA